AACGAACGCUGGCGGCAGGCUUAACACAUGCAAGUCGAACGCCCCGCAAGGGGAGUGGCAGACGGGUGAGUAACGCGUGGGAACGUGCCCUUCGCUUCGGAAUAGCCCCGGGAAACUGGGAGUAAUACCGGAUACGCCGUAUUGGGAAAGGUUUAUCGGCGAAGGAUCGGCCCGCGUUAGAUUAGCUAGUUGGCGGUGUAAUGGACCACCAAGGCUACGAUCUAUAGCUGGUCUGAGAGGAUGAACAGCCACACUGGGACCGAGACACGGCCCAGACUCCUACGGGAGGCAGCAGUGGGGAAUCUUGGACAAUGGGCGCAAGCCUGAUCCAGCCAUGCCGCGUGAGUGAAGAAGGCCUUAGGGUUGUAAAACUCUUUCCCCGGAGAAGAUAAUGACGGUAUCCGGAGAAGAAGCCCCGGCUAACUUCGUGCCAGCAGCCGCCGUAACAC
rnacentral:rRNA from 1 species